ACAGACUGCAUGCUGCUUCUUGUUUUAGAAUAAAAACAACAUGAUCUCGAACAGAAUUGGAGUAUUUUUCCUGUCAUUAAUUAUAACUGUAUUACUUUCAGGUGGAGAAUGUGUAAACACAGUAACUCAGCCCCAACAUGUGGAAGUCUCAGAAGAAAAAGCAGCUACAAUUACCUGCAAUCAUUCUAUCACAACAUAUGACAGUAUCCAGUGGUAUGUUCAGAAGUUUCGGCAAAGUCCAACUUUCAUAAUUCAGAGCUUUGACAAACAUAAAAGUGAAAAAGGAUUUACAGCAGAUACUGACCGAAGCUCAUUGACUGCAAACCUUACCAUAAUGCAUGUAACAGCUGCAGAUACAGAUGCUGUGUAUUACUGUGCUGUGAGUGACACAGUAGGAUAACACAUAGCAACAGGAAUAUCAUAAACCUCUUGGUUUCACAGUAUGCAUUGCUCUGCAUAUACUGGUGCAUGCUUUUCCACAGUGUCAAAAUAAUGACAACAAACCAUUCUGUGCAUACUAAAUAUUAUUGCUGCUAAAAAAGAACCCAUUUAAGUCUUAUUUUGAUUGCAUUAAGGUUAUUUAUCAACCCCUCUCAAUAUAUAGGAGCUUGUAAAGUACUGUUUCACUGCCAUUU